GUCUAUAUGAUAUAUAUAUAUGGUUUGGCCUGCCCCCUGAUUAAUAAAUUAAAGGGCUGCGGUAAUUUGACCGUGCAAAGGUAGCAUAAUAAUUAGUCUUUUAAUUGAAGGCUUGUAUGAAUGGCUAGACAGAAGAACAGCUGUCUUAGUUAAAUUAGUUGAAUUUAAUUUUUAUGUGAAAAAGCGUAAAUGAGUUAGAGGGACGAUAAGACCCUAUAAAACUUGACUUUUAAUUUACUGUUUUUAAAUGAAUAAAAUAGAUAGGAUUAGAUAAAGUUGUGUUGGGGUGAUAGGAAUAAAAUGUUGUUAUUAACUGUUCUGAGAAUAAAAUAGUUUAAUUAGAGUUUGAUCCUGUUACUACGGAUGUAAGAUUAAGUUACUUUAGGGAUAACAGCGUAAUUUCUUUUGAGAGUUCAUAUCGACAAAGUGAGUUGCGACCUCGAUGUUGAAUUAAGAGAGGCUCCUAGGAUGAAGGAGUUUAGGUAGUAGGUUUGUUCAACUUUUAAAUUCUUACAUGAUUUGAGUUCAGACCGGUGCGAG
rnacentral:rRNA from 1 species